CACAGUAGGUCAUUCAUGACUGCACAAAUGAAAAGAAUAAAUCAGCUGAGGAACUAUCUUAUCCCCUGGAAACAUUAAGAGUUCAGUUCCUAACUACCUUCUGAGACACAGUAAAACAACACUGAUGAAGAGCACUCCAGUUUCAAAAGCAGCUCUACUAUGUAACAGCGUGAAGCCUAGGAGACAAAAGAGAUAUCAGGAGAUAAAAUAUGGCAGUGUGUGAAAGAGAAUGAAAA